UCUUUUCUUCUUCGCACGGUUCUUCGCACGUCCGCUCUCGUUGAUUCUCGCAGCAUCGCCUCCACUCUCGCAACCAGUCGUCCUCGUCUCUUUCUCUCCCCCGAGGCACCGCACGGGUUCCCUGAUCACAAGGCCGACGUCCUCUCGGUUCGAUCCCCGGGUGAGUGGACCUCCUUGAGAAGAAGCCUUCCCUUGUGGAAUGCGAUUCUGCUGAGUUGAUUUCUCCUAUCGUCUCUCUCUGCGUUGUUGCCUCCGCGAAGAGCAAGAGAUCAUUCGAUUUCAUCCCUCGCUCUGGGUUUGAUCCCUAGGGUUUCUCGGGUCCCCAAAUCAGCUCUCUCUCUCUCUGGUUUUCUAGAUCUGCUGGAUUUUUCCUUUGAAAUCUCAUUUUGGUUUCUCUACACACACACACUCUCUCUCUCUCUCUCUCUCUCUCUCUCUCUUCGGUUGCCACUCCGCAAUGGCGAUCCCUCUCUCUUUUCUCCCCCUGUUCUUGUUCGUCCGUCCGGGUGUUUGUUCAAUUUCGAUUCGUGGGUAUGAUUCUGUUUUUCUGGUGUUGUCGUUCUUGCCCCUCCCCGCUUCGCUGGGUAUUUAAUGUUUUCUUGUUUUUGCUCGAUGUGGGAGAGAGAGAGACCCGGGUCUUGACUUCGAUCGUGUGUUUUCUUGAUUGACGGGAUUUAGAGCCGCAUCCAUGGGGACACUGAAGCAAAGGGGAGGAAGAAGGAAGCAGUAGCAGUAGCAGACCAGGUGCAAGCUUUGUGCUUUUUUUACUUGUUCAGAUUUUUUUUCUUGUCUGUGUGUUCUGGGGAAGGAGGGUUUUUGUUUCCCCCCUCUUUGCAUGCAUGCGUUUCGGUGGUUUAUGUGCUGGUGGGUGUGUUUCGGGAUUGGAUCAGUUGUGUAGCUCUUUUUAGAAAUUUUCUGAGUGGGAAACUGUUUUCCGAGUGGCAAGUUCGAUUAUGGCGGAGUAUCGGUAGCAUGGGGUGUUUGUGCGGCAUGGCUUGAUAUGGGGCCAUAUGAUUGCUGAUAGGCUUUAUCAGAUUUGGCGUGAUGAGAGGAGAAAAUUUUGGCACUGCAAUUUUACUUGUGCGGUUGUGAUUGAUUGUGCUGAUUCUAUGAAUUACUUUUUGAAGAAGUUGCGGACUUUUGACCGAAGAAAUUGUAAGAAGGUCCUAUUAUGAAUUAAGAUGUUUAUGGCAAUUCCAAAGUAAAGUUAGUUUUGCCACUGAAAUAAUGGUAAUUGGAGUUGAUAGAUUCUCCUUUUUAAGGCAAAAUAUGUGAUAUCAUCAAUACUUUCAGCAUAAUCAUGCCUCUUAAACAUGUUGUUGUAACAGGUCUGCCAUAUGAAUGCACUGUAAGAAUAGUUUUGGGCAAGUAAAUUAUAGUAUCUAUUAAGUAAUUAUGUGAAAAUCUCUAUAUACUCUUGUCUAGGUAAAGUAAUGUCUCUAAGUGAACUAUUUCCUAGGUAGUCCUAUUCCCUACGGUUCAAGAAGUUAAAGUGUGUUAUCUACUUUAGGGAAACAUAAUAGGGUGAGAGCAGCAAUAUUCUCUGUUUUGGUUUGCAAGAUGAUAUAUGGUCAUAAAAAAACACCUACCUAUUCGACACCCACGUCUUGGUUUCAUUUUGCUCGAAUUGCAGGAGGGAUAACUUAGAAACAAUAACGAAAUGCUCAACAUGACUCAUUGAUGGUUUAAUUUGUUGUUGUAAUUAAAGCAAAUGAAUAAACAAAUGAAAAACAUAUUUGGACAUAAGAUAUAGUUUCUUAUGAUUAUCUUAUAUGGCAAUUGUUCUGCUUGAGAUAGUAAGUGCUAAGAUAUAUUAAGCAACAAACUCCACGUAUGUGUAUCGGGGAAGAUCAAUUGAGGUGGAUUAAACUCAUGCGAGAUAUAUAGCUCCUCCACAUUGACAUCCUACUUUGUUUUUAAGUAUAAUGUUUUUGUGUGUCCUUAUUUUUUCUCAAUAUUAGUUUUCUUUUCUUUAAGUGAAUAUCUUCUAGUUUUUUAAUAAGAGAGGGCUUGAGUGGUUGAUAUUGUUUGUUUGUGUCUCUUAAAUUUGUUCUUUACUAGUAGAUGAGUUUAUCAAAGGAAAAUGCAUUUUGGAGCUCGGAAGAUGUAGAAAUCUUUUGUAAGUUAUGCAUCGAACAAAUUGAAAAAGGCAAUCGUUCUGCAAACAACAAAAGAGAUAGAUGGACAGUCAUAAUUAGUAAGUUUGAGGAGCUAACGGGCAAAAAGUAUGAUAAACAUAAAAUGAAGAGUAAGUGGGAUAACCUCAAGGAAGAUUGGAAAAGAUGGAGGUCAUUGCUUUACAAUGAAACUGGAUUAGGAUGGGAUUCAAGGAAGAAAACCAUUGAUGCGAGUGACGAAUGGUGGGAGAGUAAAAUUCAGGCUAAUCCAAAGUUUAAGGCUUUUAAGAUGAAAGGCAUACAUCAUGAUCUUGAAGUAAAGUUGAUAUGAUGUUCAGAGAUACAGUUGCUACUGGAGGAAUCACAUGGAAUCCUGCACAAGGUUUAUGUGUUGAUAAUGAUAUGGAGACCACACAACCUGGUAUCGAUGAUAUUGUAGGGUCUACUGAUGAAAACUUUGAGGAUCAUGUGGAUGAAACCGUUGAACCAACUGGAACUCAAACUCGUAAGAGAGCGACACAGACUUCAAAGAUGCAAGCUCGAGGAAAAAAAGAUAGGAAAUUGAACACAAGAGAAGAGCUCAGAACACAGAUUAACAAGCUGCUUACAGUUGUUGAGAGUAGGAGCACUACUAGUGUUGCAUCCAAAGCAACCAGUUUAGUCGGUCCUUAUAAGGAUCUCAUAGAGAUAUUGGAUUCUAUUACUGGGAUUGUGGAAGACGAAGACUUGUAUUUUUUUGCAAUUUCUCAUUUAAAGGAAAAUAUAAACAAUAGGCAAGUUUUUAUGAGCUUAAAGGAUAAUGCAAAGAAAGUAAAGUAUCUCAAAUAUGAGUCGAAAAAAGAAUCAAGUCUUUGUGGAUAGGAUGUUAGCAUCUUAUUGUUUUAAUAUUUGAAGUUUAGUCAUUCCACUUUGUUUCUAUCUAUGGAUCUUUAUUUGCAGUUAUUGUGAACCUAAUUUCAAUUAA